AGUGAACGCUGGCGGUAGGCCUAACACAUGCAAGUCGAACGGCAGCACAGUAAGAGCUUGCUCUUACGGGUGGCGAGUGGCGGACGGGUGAGGAAUACAUCGGAAUCUACUUUUUCGUGGGGGAUAACGUAGGGAAACUUACGCUAAUACCGCAUACGACCUACGGGUGAAAGCAGGGGAUCUUCGGACCUUGCGCGAUUGAAUGAGCCGAUGUCGGAUUAGCUAGUUGGCGGGGUAAAGGCCCACCAAGGCGACGAUCCGUAGCUGGUAUGAGAGGAUGAGCAGCCACACUGGAACUGAGACACGGUCCAGACUCCUACGGGAGGCAGCAGUGGGGAAUAUUGGACAAUGGGCGCAAGCCUGAUCCAGCCAUACCGCGUGGGUGAAGAAGGCCUUCGGGUUGUAAAGCCCUUUUGUUGGGAAAGAAAAGCAGCAGGUUAAUACCCCGCUGUUCUGACGGUACCCAAAGAAUAAGCACCGGCUAACUUCGUG
rnacentral:rRNA from 1 species